GCCUGGGCACGGUGCUCGCUGAGGUUAGCCGCGGUGGAAGCCGCGCCGCCAGGCCCUCGGCACGCUGGGCCACGGGGCAGCGCCAAGGAGCCCUUCCCGGACCGCCGCUUGACCUCGUCCGCCCCGGGCCUUCCGGCGUUCAGAGCCCCGGCCCGCAGUGUCGCUUCUGUCAGAUGUGCUCCGAGAGCCGUGCCGUGCGUCGUGCGCAGGCGAGUCCCGCGAGUUUCCAGCAGCGCAGUGGGCUUCGCCGAAAUCCACGGAGACCCUCCCAGAUGCGCGAGCAGGACGGCGAACGCCGCCGCGUUCGCGGGGGAAGGAGUGCUUCCCGGAAGCCUGAACUGAGCCCCAGAGGGUGUGCCUUGUUCAGGGGUGUUCCCGCGGCGUCCGUGCUAGGCCUUGGAGCUGCUGUAGCAGUAACCUGUCGCGCAGCGGGGCGUCUCGGGUGUGGGGUGUGCGGCAGCUGUUUCAGGAACUGCCUGCCACCCGGGCUGGGCGUUCAGUGCUGAGGAAAGUGGCGCUCAGGGAGCUCAGUCUGGUGGAGAAGACACGUAACAGUAGUGACGGCAGCAUCCCAGCCCUUUACAGUUACCACCUUCGUUUAUGGCGGGAACCGCAGAAGGAACCGGUUCUGCCCUGGAUGCUGGCUGCCGCCCCUGACCCGGCCAGGCCUGAGAGCAAGGAGGACAGUGACACAGUUGAGCCCCACAGCUGUAGUGGAUGACUGGUGGCGGAGUUCCUUUGGCUGUUGUGACAGCACCGUCGCCUGGUGGCUUAAACCAGUAGCUGUUAUGAUUUCCUGCUUCUGGAGAAGUCUGAGGUCCAGUUAAACCAGUAGCUGUUAUGAUCUCCUGCUUCUGGAGAAGUCUGCAGUCUAGGCAGGACUGGUUCCUUCCGGGCCUCUGAGGGAGGGCUGUCCCAUCUCUGUCUCCCAGCUCCUGGGGCUCUGGCCGUCCUUGGCUUGUGGACACAUCCCUCCCCUCUCUGCCUCCGUCUUCACAUGGACUGUUUCCCUGCCUUGUGUCCCUGUUUCCUCUUUUUGUAAGGACACCCAUCAUUGAAGUCAAGGCCCAUCCUACUCCAUUAUAGUCUCAUCUUAAUCAGGUUCUGAGGUUUCCGGUGGACGUGACUUUGCAGGGGGACACUGUUCGGCACGGUCCCCGUAGCGCGUGAGAGAAACGAACCUUUGUUGUUCACAGACGCUGAGCCGCGGGUGUUUGUCGCAUCAUGCGGUGUCGCGGGUUUACGCUGUAAUGUAUGUACUGGUCUGCGUACUUGUCUUCGGCUGGACGCUGACCUCCUGCCCGUGGGAGAGGGCGUAUCAUUCAUUGUUGUGUCGUACAGGACGGGGAAGAGUUCGUUUUACCAGCCGGUACCAGAACACAUUCUAGAGACGCCAGUGGGCUUUUUAGGAAAAUACCUUUUUAGCACUAGGGAGCGGUCGGGGCAGCCCUUGGGAUGUGAGGGGAAAGGGUGCACGGAGAAGCCACUAAGCUCAGCGGGAGGAGGUCGCCGCCGUUUUGGAGGCGAGGGAGAGGAGCCGGGAGAGGAGGUCACGGCCCCUGCCGACGCCCCGUUCGGGGGCCCCUGUGCGGUGGAACAGAGCUUGGCCAGGCCUCCCUGAGCUGAAGCACAGGACGAGCUGCCAGCCAGCCUUACAGGUGGGCAGCGGAGCCGGGCCCCGGACAGCUCCGCGAGCACAAGGGGCCUGGAAGGCACCUGCCGCAUGCAAGGAGCCGAGGAGACCACGCUCCCGGUUGGAGCAACCCUAGUGCUCCCUGGCGCUCCUCGUCCCGCCGAGACUCUGAGUGUUGACCCAGCCACGGGGCUGUGCGGACGCCGGCCGCCCGGUGGGUGCAGGGCAGUCCUGGAGGAGGCGGCGGACGGGAUUCCGUCAUGUUCCUGAGCUCUGUUGGGUUACAUUGGGCCUGUAUUACCUCUAUCGUUGUUUUUUAAAAAGGUGACCAAAAAAGUAAAAUAUUUUAAAAGCACCUAUGUCAUGCUUCCCUGGUGUGGGUCUGGCCCCUCCAGGCUGCUGAACUAACUGCUGUGUGCCCAUCUUGUUGACCCCCUUCCCAGCAGGCUGCCCCACCAUCGGCUGUCCCGGGGGCCCAGGCCCCCACUUGGCCUGCAGGGUCUAUCGAUGGCUUUGCCGGCAGCCGUGAAGAAGCCGUGCGCUCCUGUUCUCCGCGCGGAUCCCAGUUGUGGCACUAACUGGCUUUGAUGCCACAGUCUCCCCUCCUGCGCAGAGCUGCCGUUUGUGGCCUUCCUGGGCACCAGGGAGAGUUGAACAGCACCCCUAGUCCCCACCCACUUGAUGCCAGGAGCGCCCCCAGUCAUCUCAACCACAGACGUCCUUGGACGUUGCCCAGUGUCCCCUAGAGGCAGGAUCCCCCCGAAUGAGCCUGUGGCCAUUGCCAUCAUGCCAUUGCCCCCUGCCAUCAUUCCUGGAGGUAGCCUCGAAUGGGUCCGCUCGUGCCCUGGGCUGUCCCUGGGACAAGCUUGGUCCCUGCUCCCAGCAUGGGCUCACUGCCUGGUGAGUGAAAAAAUGAGAGAAAGGACAGCCUGAGUCACAGCAGGCGGCUUUCUUCCCCGGAACUUCCAGCUGCCCAUCGGGACUUCCCUUUGGGUGGUGGGCCACUGUGGGAGGAGGGGAGAGCCCCGUCUGUCUCCUUCACCACCUCCUGCCUCGCUGAAUCUGGCUUUGGCCGUUUGCAUUCAGCACGUCCAAGGUGGUUCCUCACAGGGCUCGUGACUUGGCACCGUCCACCCGGGCUGUCCUGUGGGAUGUGCCCAGGAUUAACGGAUCGAGAUGAAACAUGGAUGGACAGCUUGGGUUGCCUGGCCGGAGUUUCUGCACAGAUCAUAGAUCGUAUCUGUGUUACUUUUCUAGGGUGGUUGUAACAAAGGACGACAAGCAAAAUUUGCUGCCUCCUACUCCAGGAGACCAAAACUCCGGCCUGAAGGUGUCGCAGGGCCCUGCUCCCUCUGGAGGCUCCUCUCCCUGCCUCUUCCAGCCUCUCUUGGCUUUGGUGUCUCUUGGUUUAUGGACCAGUCUUUCCUCCAUGUGUCUGUGUCCACAUUCCCUUCAUCUUAUAAGCACACUGCUCGUUGGUUCUAGGUCCGUUCCUACCCAGUGUGACCUCAUCUUAACUACUAACUUGCAUCUGCAAAGACCCUAUUUCCAAAUAAGGCCCAUUCACAGGUUCCCGAGGGUUAGGACUUCGGCAUAACUUUUGGGAGACACAUUCAACCCAUCAAAACCUCACAGUUAGUGAGUUCCUCACCAUGGUUCAGAGUUGUUAGCAGUCUUGCCCGUCACACUUCUCCAGGUAAAAUACAGGACUGAAUUGCUGGGUCCAUGUUAGAUACGGAGUAAAUGCUGGGUAGAUACGUUAUUAACAUACAGUCGACCACUUAGUCUGAGUGUUUCAUUACACCCUAAAGAUGUAUCUGUUAUAUAUAUAAAUUUCAACAAUAACUGGGUGUUCUGUAUUUUUAUUUGGCAAAUCUGGCAACCCUGUUUAGUAAUUGGAUUUAUAGACUUUUCUCCAAAGGGGCAAAUGGAACUUCUGGGAACAUUAUGUUGAUAUCACUAUUUCUGCAAGAACCUUUGGUAUGUACCAGUUGGAGCCUCGUCUUGAUCAGGGGAACGCCUUCAACAGUGUGUCUAUGAGUGUGUGCACACAGGCCUCCAGGAACUGAGGAAAACUGCUUAUGAGAUGCAUAUUUUGAAACAUGACGGGGCGGGCGCCUGGGUGGCUCAGUUGGUCGAGCGUCCGACACUUGAUUUCGGCUCAGGGUCCUGAGAUCGAGGGCUGUGCAGGGCUCCCUGCUCAGCGGGGAGUCUGCUCGAGGACUGGCUCUCCCCCCGCUGACGCGCGCUCUUGCUCUCUGUCUCUCUCACUCAAAAUAAAAUAUUUUAAAAAAC